rnacentral:rRNA from 1 species
GAUGAACGCUGGCGGCGUGCCUAAUACAUGCAAGUCGAGCGAAUGGAUUGAGAGCUUGCUCUUAUGAAGUUAGCGGCGGACGGGUGCGUAACACGUGGGUAACCUGCCCAUAAGACUGGGAUAACUCCGGGAAACCGGGGCUAAUACCGGAUAACAUUUUGAACCGCAUGGUUCGAAAUUGAAAGGCGGCUUCGGCUGUCACUUAUGGAUGGACCCGCGUCGCAUUAGCUAGUUGGUGAGGUAACGGCUCACCAAGGCAACGAUGCGUAGCCGACCUGAGAGGGUGAUCGGCCACACUGGGACUGAGACACAGCCCAGACUCCUACGGGAGGCAGCAGUAGGGAAUCUUCCGCAAUGGACGAAAGUCUGACGGAGCAACGCCGCGUGAGUGAUGAAGGCUUUCGGGUCGUAAAACUCUGUUGUUAGGGAAGAACAAGUGCUAGUUGAAUAAGCUGGCACCUUGACGGUACCUAACCAGAAAGCCACGGCUAACUACGUGCCAGCCGCCGCGGUAA